UGUGAGGGCAACCUGGCUGCAACAUCUGUCACCCCAUAGAUUGUUAGGAUUAAUUGACUGAUCUGGCUGGCUAGGUGGGUAUCCCUGUCUUCCCUCACUGC
rnacentral:sRNA from 1 species